CCUAGGUAUAAAGAGCCACCACUGUUCCUCCGUCUCACGACACACCUCAUACCGCCGACUUCCUCUCUUCACUCACCUUCGUCAUCUCGACGGAGUUCUCUCCUCGGCGGUCGGAGCUGAGGACAAUGUCGGAUUUGGUUGCCGAUCUUCAUCGAUGGUAGCGGAUCGGACAAGGAAUCGUGCGAUUCCUCGCUUUGACGGCACAAAAAUUGGAAGCUAGGGCAUCCGGCAGUGGAACAAGAAGGAAGAAGGCAAGUACCUUUCCCUAUGUUGAACGGAGAUCGGUGAGGUAGGGAACAAGUAACUAAGGGGACGAUUUUUUCUUGCCUGAAGUGUUCGAUCUAAGAAUUUUGUGUUGAGUUCCGAGUUAUCUUCCUGACGUUUAUGGUUUGGCUUGAGGUUCAGUGACGUUCUAGCUUCGGUUUGGGUUUUCUAUGAGGUUCUUCUGUCGAUCUGUGAUCUCCAUGAUGUUUUGCUUCGGCUGGUGACCUUCUGUGGAUUCGUUGUAGGGUCUAUUUAAGGUAUCUUGUUUUUAAAUGGAUGCGAUACGACUGUUUUCUCUUGGAUGGUUUUGAGCGAUUCAUGGGUCUUCUUCCGGUUUUCGACACAGAAUUAGGGCAUUGCGUUUAAUCGAGAAUUGGUCUGGGUUCUUCACCGAGGUCUGAGAUUUUGCUUUGUAGCUUGGUUUUCUUGCUUCAUUGGAAAGGAUUUUGGUAUUGGAUUGGUUCUGUCUUGAUGGAUUUGGGUUGUGACUGCAUCCGAUAUGUUCUUCUGUUCAUGGAUUCACUGUGGGUCAUGUCGUGGAUGUAUUUCAAUAACGUCUCGCUAUUAUGGAUAGCUAUGAAAUUUUGUGCGACUCCUUUGAUGAAAUUCUGUCCUGCAGGCAGCUACAGAUUUUACGUGAUUUUGAUUUGACGUUGUUGAGGUUCAGAUGCUUCGGUCGGUUUUGAAUUCCAACUAAUGUGUUCGGCUGCUUGAGUAAUUGAUGCGAUGGCGAUCCUGAAAUUUUGGUUUGUUUUCCUCGGAGUCCUCUUGUGUUUUCUGGAUUUAGGAGCGGAUGGGAAUUGAUGUAGAUUUUCCUUGCAAGGUCGUGUUAGUACUCUUGGAUAGUUAGUAAAGGAUGGUAAAUGAUUUCAAAGGUCGUGUUCUUCAUGUUUCUUGCACGGAUUUAGGGCAUCUUAUCGGGUUCGUUGCAGCUUUGUUUCAGAUUCUGCGUAAAUGAGAUGUUGUAGAUUUAGUGUGGAUUCUACAUGAAUUCGUUGUUACCUCGAUUCUUCACAUUGGUUUGCAUUUUUCGGACAGAUUCUUGGUGGACUAAGUUUGAUUGAUGGUGUAUUUGUGUUUUUUCCAUUUGUCUUUGAAGGAUUUUGGGCAGAUUGCUUGUGCUUUAGGCCUUGAUCGGUCAUACUGUGGUGUGGAUUUCUCGAUUUCUUUUGAACAGCUAGACUGAUUUGUAAGUUGUGGAUUCAAGAUGGUGUGUUCUGUUCCUUUGAAAUGACAGUGGUUGGUGGUUGAGCUAUAGAUUUAGAAGGUGUAAAAAUGAAUUCAAUAUGGUUCCUUCUUCUUUGGAUAGUUACUGUUUUCUCUUCUUUGGACAGAUAGCAAGUUAGGGAUUUGGUUUGGGAUGUUCUACCUCCUUCCAAGGGUUCUCGGAUUCUGGAUAGAAAAUCGAUUAACUUGUAAUAUGAAUUUAGUGUGGAUUCUGUUUCUUGUGUUGGUUUCAAACUCUUUUCCUUUUUGACAGAUAACGAGCUAGUGAUUUGAUUCGUGAUGUUAUUGUUGUUUAUGUUGGGCUUUUGGGUUCUUGAUGCAAAUUUGGUUCAAGGUAUAAUUGUUCUUCUAGUUAAGGUGAGGAUGAUUCUCAGGGUACAACGGAAGGCUCUCGGAUGGAGUAGACGAGGAGGCGGGAUGAGCGCAUGAUACUGUCUGUUGUCUAGGAGUGCCAAGCAUAUUGGAUUCAUCGCAAGGGAUUUUGUUUCUUUAUUGGGAAUGUUUUGGGAAUUAUUGUUUUAUUCGGUAAACCUUUGUUGAUACGGUUAUUUUUAUUGGUUAUGAUAGUUCUUUGUUGGUACUGUAUUAUGAUAAUGAUGAGAGAGUUUUUUUUUUAAAAAAACUUCAAUGGUAGACGCGGGAUGUUUCAAUGAUGUUAUGAACUGCUCAGCUGUUUGUGUAUACUAAGACAAUAACACCCA